UAAACCGUGCCUCACCUCACUAAUACAAAUAUUUUUAAAUUUCGCACGAACUUGAGCAUAUUUACAGGAAUAAAUGAGAGAAGAUGAGAUGAAGAGUACCCUUACGCAUAGUGCUCAAUUGUGAUCAGAAAAACUAUAAGGGUUUCGUUUUUUUUCCUUUUUGACUACGGAUCUGCAAAAAGUGAAAUUCGUAUGUCGUUUUUAAGGGAGGAAUGAUGACAAUAGAUAGUGUUACACACUCAUGUUUCAAUGGAUCACUCUGUACACAGGAGCCUGUUAAUAUGAACCGUGAAAAAAGUGAUAUCGUCUUGGGUCGUCCCAUUCGUUUUUCGUCAACUCUUUAAAUUAGUCCUAUUCUGCUUUCGUCACUCAUUCUACAUUCGUCACAAUCGUCGGUGGCUUUCAAUGUAGAAUGAGUGAUGAAAGCAGAAAAGGACUAAUUUAAGAACUUGACGACGGGGAAAAAUGUGAACACUUAAACUAUUGUAAGGCUGAUUUAGCCCAUGAUUAAUUGGGAUAAAGAGAUAAUUGGCGAGACUCGCUUGUUAGCGAAGUUUGCAAAUAACAAAGGGCGGCGCGGUCUACACCCGCUAUCUUCAGUUACCCGAGAACAAGAUGCAUGUAACUGCGUCGCAAUAUCGGGAGCCCGAAAACAAUACAAAAAGUAAUCACGGUCCAUAUCCCGGUCGAUAUAAGUCUAGUGAAACAAACCGUGAAUCAUUUUAAACUGUUACCUAUUCACAAUUGUUAUGUGCGUUGCCGUUAAUACGUUACUGUAAAUUUCACGAUUAUUGACGACAAGUCGCUGUAACACCCUUAACCCUGUAUAGGAUACCGUUACCAACCUCAUCUCACCUCAACUAUUUCUGAUUGACAACAUUUCAUAUUUUUAAGUGCUACUUUUUAUUGUCUACAUCGAAAAAACGCACUAAUUUAAGGUACCCGUAUUUUUUUUAUUUUGCGUAAGUCCUAUAUUUUGGUCAUAAAAUCUAUUUAUAUUGUUACUUGAAACAAAAGGGCGUAUGUAACAAACGUCAUUUGUGAGAAUCGUGACGUCACGGAUCUGUUUCAUACACUGGAAAAAACGUUGAAUUAAUUUACGUUUGAGCAUAGACAACAGUGCGAGUCACAUAACUUCAAACGUUAAAAAUAAAAUCACAAAUUAACAAGUGUCACAAACUUCAAAACUCAAGUCAAACGAUUGGUUUUCAUCCCGUUUUCAAUAAUAUUUGUUUCUAGAAAUGCCUCGUAUUAAACAUUGUUUUUUCAAAACAUGCCAAAACAACACUGGUUUGUCGGCGAAAAAGAAGUUUUUUACUUCGUGAUAAUUCAGUGUCGUAAAUAAUAAAAUCACACAAGAAAAAUAUCCGAACAAUGUGAACUGUUAGUAAACCAUUGUCAAGUGUCACUGGUAGUGAAGUGACAAUGACAAUGACAAUGUCAACCCAAUCGGAAGUCAUUUCUUUGCUUGUAGUGGCAGAACUGAAGCAGCUGGGUGACGUCAAUUUCCGUUUUAACUAUUUUUAGAGAUUUUGAAUACAAAAAAUCGUAAAAAAUAUAUAAAA